UCGGGUCUCUGCUUGCAGGUUCUGCACUAAAAAUUUUCUUUUUUGUUUGUUUUGUUUUGUUUUAAUUAGGGCUUAUUUGAAAACCUAAAAAGUCCUCGCUGUCCUCGUUUUGCUCCUUUCUUUCCUCUUUACUUUCUUCCUUCUUCCUCUUUUUGUAAAAGAAGUAAAGGGAGGAUUUUAAAGUUUAGACGCCUUCAAGAGCUUUUUAAGUCUUAGAAGCAAGGAGAGGGGAAAAAGCAAUAGGAACCCAGGAAAGUUUUUAAUUAGAUCUCAUUUUAAAACCUAAAAAGUUGUAGUCCUCACUUUGCUGUUUUUUCCCCUUUCACGUCCUCCUUCCCUUUUUUAAAAGUAUUUUUAAAGUUUAGACGCCUUCAAGAGCUUCUUGGAGGCAGCGCCUUAGGGCGCAUGAAGUGCUUGGGGGGGGGGGGUAGAGGGUUGGGGAGGAUUGAACACUGGCAAGUUUUUCUUUUUCUUUUUUCUUUUUUUUUUUUUUUUUUUUUUUCCGGCUCUUGAGAAUUACUCUGCGGCCGCUGGGGCCCGGGGCGGAUGGCAGGAUUCUCGUCCGCAUGCCUCUGCACUCCAGCCGCCAGGUUUUAUGGGAUCCCUCGCGCUCUUGGGGAGCUUGCAAGAAAAACGACCACCCCUCUAGGUUUUUUGCCUCCAGCAACUACAUUUUUUUUUCUUCUUCUUUCUCCUCUCUUUUAACGGACUGAGUAAUUUCUUUUCACUUUCUCCUUUUCUCCCCUGAACGGACUUCUAGAAAAGACAAUCUAAAUCCUUCACUAAGCCCUAUUUAGCAGACCCCCCCCCCAAACUUCCACAGCAGUCCAUUACCAACCCUCCUUCCUUUUCCCCUUGGUCUCGCCCCCCCCCAACCUGAAGAUAAAUUGUUAUCUUUAAAACUGAGUUUGGGGAAAGGAGGGAGAGGGCAUUCCCUCCCUAAUCCACAGUUCUUGAGAUACCCUCCCACCCCCAGCCACUCAGCCCCAUUGAAUGUAACAACAGAUGGCUUUUCGGUCCCUUCAAGGUUUGAUUUCACUCUGGGUGUUUUCUCUUCUACUCUGUUUUGGCGGGACAGGAAGAGCACGGGGCUCUCAGGCCGAAACUUGUUCUUUUUAAAGAUCAAAAAAAAAAAAAAAAAAAAUCCACUCGCCUCGAAAAGAAGAAAAGGGUUUUUAAAAAGCACCAUGUUUGCCUGACACAUAGUAGGCACUUGUCAGUUAACUGACUGAUGGGUCUCGUUUUGCUUCCCCCGCCCUGGCAAGUUUUGGAAUGGAAGAUAAAGACCGAAACAACCGUCUCUGGGGUGUUUUUCUCCUCCGUUUCCAUAAGCCCUUUGCCAUCUUGUUACAGUAAAGCCCUUCAACCCGAAUCAGAAGUUUAUUCCACAACACUUUUUAACUGCUCAAUCUUAUUAUGAAAUCCAGUAUGUGUUUGUGUGUGCCUAAGUGCAUUUUCCAUUGCGAUGUAAUUAGGUCACCCCAUUAUAAGCACG